GAUGAACGCUAGCGGCAGGCCUAAUACAUGCAAGUCGAACGGUGUAGCAAUACACAGUGGCACACGGGUGCGUAACACGUAUGCAACCUACCUUACAUUGGGGGAUAGCCUUUCGAAAGGGAGAUUAAUACCGCAUAAGACAGUAACUAGGCAUCUAGUAGCUGUUAAAGAUUUAUCGAUGUAAGCUGGGCAUGCGUCCAAUUAGUUUGUUGGCGAGGUAAUGGCUCACCAAGACGAUGAUUGGUAGGGGAACUGAGAGGUCAAUCCCCCACACUGGCACUGAGAUACGGGCCAGACUCCUACGGGAGGCAGCAGUAGGGAAUAUUGGGCAAUGGGCGCAAGCCUGACCCAGCCAUGCCGCGUGCAGGAAGAAGGCGUUAUGCGUUGUAAACUGCUUUUAUACAGGAAGAAACGACCCUUGCGAGGGGCAUUGACGGUACUGUAUGAAUAAGCACCGGCUAACUCCGUGCCAGCAGCCGCGGUAACAC
rnacentral:rRNA from 1 species